UUUCCGUAGGUGAACCUGCGGAAGGAUCAUUAUUAUAUAACCCAGGUGCGAGGGCUGUCGCUGACCCGAAAGGUCGUGCACGGCCGAGUGCCCUCAUGUGCAUCCAUCUCACCCCUCUGUGCACCGCCGCGUGGGUCCCCCUUUGGGUUGUUCGGAGGGGGGCUUACGUAAUCACACAACCUUUUUAUGCAGUGUAGAAUGUAGUUUUUGUUGUUGCGAUCCCGCAAUCAAUACAACUUUCAACAACGGAUCUCUUGGCUCUG
rnacentral:misc_RNA from 1 species